rnacentral:rRNA from 1 species
GACGGAGGAUGCAAGUGUUAUCCGGAAUCACUGGGCGUAAAGCGUCUGUAGGUGGUUUAAAAAGUCCACUGUUAAAAAUUGAAGCUUAACUUCAAAGAUGCCGUGGAAACUUUUAAACUUGAGUAUGGUAGGGGUAGAGGGAAUUUCCAGUGGAGCGGUGAAAUGCGUAGAUAUUGGAAAGACCACCAAUGGCGAAGGCACUCUACUGGGCCGACACUGACACUGAGAGACGAAAGCUAGGGGAGCGAAUGGG